rnacentral:rRNA from 1 species
AUUAAAGUUGUUGCAGUUAAAAAGCUCGUAGUUGGACUUGUGUGCGCUGUCCGCGGGUGGCCUGCGCCCAAAAGGGCGUUUCGGUUCGGCCCCGGUGGCGCCUUGAAAUCUGCAGCUGGGGGGACGUUGGCCUUAACUGGUCGGCGACCGCACGCCGGCUGCUCGGUUACUGUGAGAAAAUUAGAGUGUUCAAGGCAGGCAUUGGGUGCAAUUGAAUACAUUAGCAUGGAAUAAUAAAAUAUGGCUCCUGCCGUAUUUUGUUGGUUUUGACUGGUGGGAGUAAUGAUUGAUAGGGACGGUUGGGGGUGCUAGUAUUGAGCGGCCAGAGGUGAAAUUCAUGGAUUCGCUCAAGACUAACUUAUGCGAAAGCAUUCACCAAGGACGUCCUCUUUAAUCAAGAACGAAAGUUGGGGGAUCGAAGACGAUCAGAUACCGUCGUAGUCUCAACCAUAAACUAUGUCGACUUGGGGUCGGCGGUAGUUUUUUCAUUAAGACACUGUCGGGACCACGGGAGAAAUCAAAGUGUCUGGACUCUGGGGGAAGUAUGGUCGCGAGGCUGAAACUUGAAGGAAUUGACGGAAGGGCACCACCAGGAGUGGAGCCUGCGGCUUAAUUUGACCCAACACGGGGAAACUUACCAGGUCCAGAGAUGUAGAGGAUUGACAGAUUGAAGCUCUUUCUUGAUCACUUCGGUGGUGGUGCAUGGCCGUUCUUAGUUGGUGGAGUGAUUUGUCUGGCUAAUUCCGUUAACGAACGAGACCUCAGCCUGCUAGUGUAGUCGGCUGGAUUGCCUUUGGCGAUCCGUGAUUUCGACUUCUUAGAGGGACAAUCGACGCGCAGUCGAUGGAAGUUUGAGGCAAUAACAGGUCUGUGAUGCCCUUAGAUGUUCUGGGCCGCACGCGCGCUACACUGCUGGGCUCGGCGAGUUUUACUUGGCCGAGAGGCCCGGUUAAUCUUGUGAAAUCCCAGCGUGCUUGGGCUCGCCUCCUGCAACUGGAGGCGCCAACGAGGAAUUCCUAGUAGACGCAGGUCAUCAACCUGCAUCGAUUACGUCCCUGCCCUUUGUACACACCGCCCGUCGUUCCAUAAGAGUGAGGCAUCCGGUGAAUUCUCGGAGAGCCUGGGCGUGGCCAGCAAUGGUCUGCUCGGGUUUGAAGUUGCAUAAACUUGGUGCCUAUGAUUAGGGAAAAGUCGUAACAAGGUUUCCGUAGGUGACCUGCGGAAG